rnacentral:rRNA from 1 species
AUUGAACGCUGGCGGCAGGCCUAACACAUGCAAGUCGAACGGUAACAGGAAGAAGCUUGCUUCUUUGCUGACGCGUGGCGGACGUGUGAGUAAUGUCUGGGAAACUGCCUGAUGGAGGGGGAUAACUACUGGAAACGGUAGCUAAUACCGCAUAACGUCUCAAGACCAAAGAGGGGGACCUUCGGGCCUCUUGCCAUCGGAUGCGCCCAGAUGGGAUUAGCUAGUAGGUGGGGUAACGGCUCACCUAGGCGACGAUCCCUAGCUGGUCUGAGAGGAUGACCAGCCACACUGGAACUGAGACACGGUCCAGACUCCUACGGGAGGCAGCAGUAGGGAAUAUUGCGCAAUGGGCGCAAGCCUGAUGCAGCCAUGCCGCGUGUAUGAAGAAGGCCUUCGGGUUGUAAAGUACUUUCAGCGGGGAGGAAGGAAGGUAAGUUAAUACCUUUGCUCAUUGACGUUACCCGCAGAGGAAGCACCGGCUAACUCCGUG